CACGGGGGGAGCAAGCGUUGUUCGGAAUCACUGGGCGUAAAGGGUGUCUAGGCGGUCAGGUAAGUGAGAUGUGAAAUGCCCCGGCUUACCCGGGGACCUGCAUCUCAUACUGCCUGGCUUGAGUAUGGGAGAGGAUGAGGGAAUUCCUGGUGUAGCGGUGAAAUGCGUAGAUAUCAGGAGGAACACCGGUGGCGAAAGCGCUCAUCUGGCCCAAUACUGACGCUGAGGUGCGAAAGCGUGGGGAGCAAACAGG
rnacentral:rRNA from 1 species